GGGUUUGUUUUGGGUUUUUUUUGUUUUGUUUUUUUUGUUUGUUUUAGGUAUUUUUCAAGGCUUUACACACAGAGGCUUUCCAUCCCCUACCACCCAUACGCUCCCUUCCCUCUGCCUAAUUUCAGAGUAAGGAAGCCACACAUGAUGUUUUCUCUCCAGGACACGGUGAACUGGCUGGCAGGCUGUGUGAUGAGAAGGAAUCUGCCCCGGGACACCGUGAAGAGCUGGGAUCUUCUGCCUGCUGUUUGUCGUGGCAAAGGGGAGAUGCCUGCAUUCAGCUGCUACUGAAACCAGGAAUGCCAGCUCAAAACCCGGAACAUCAGCUUGGGAGGACGCUGCUCUGCCGCCGCUGUGGCUGAAGAGACUCAACCCCACAUCCUUGGCCAGCCAGAUCACGUGCCAAGGGCUGCGGCUGAAGCAGGGUUGGAGCAAAAAUACGAAAGCAAAAACGAUUUGGAGUUGACACAGUGUAUUGUGAAUUACUUCUCAGCUUUUCUACAUCUAAGAGAGCGUGAAAUGAUCGGCUGUACACGGAGCAGUUUAAUAUACAGUUGAUACAGAGCUGCAGAUAAUACACGUUGGAUCUAUAUACACACAGAGCUGAACAUUUCACAGGUACAACUUUUUGCCAUCUCGGUUUGUCCACGAAGCAUUGGCAGAGUAUUUACAGCGAGGCUGCUGCGAGGAAGCCCCGUCCCCGUGGAGCCCCGGCGAGGCUGCCCAGCAGGGGUGUAAACAGAGAGUUCUCUCUUUCUGCAAGGGAGGGAGAGGGGGAACACGGCUGUGCCGGGCAGGAGGGAAAGGAACAGAGAAACCAGGAAAAAAUAAUGUCCAGCUAACCUGGAGACCUCAAAACACUUGAAUUUGCCUUUUAAAAUAUUUUAACUGGAAAGUGUUCUCAAUUAAUUUUCAAUUUGUAAUGCAAUUAUGUUUCAAUGGCAUUUUCAAUUAAUGCUUUCUAUCCAUCUGUGUUUCUAUCCAUCCCCCCUGUGCUUGUGCAAGGACAGGGAGUGCUGAAGCCCUGGGUCAGUGCUGAGGGAGCUUCCCAAGGAAGCAGGGGAUGCUCAGGGGCCUGUGCUGGCUCCCAGGCCCACUCCUUGCCCUUGGCAAACCAAAGCCAACCCUGCUUUCAGCUGAUCACUC